rnacentral:rRNA from 1 species
AUUGAACGCUGGCGGCAUGCUUUACACAUGCAAGUCGAACGGUAACAGGUUAAGCUGACGAGUGGCGAACGGGUGAGUAAUGCAUCGGAACGUGCCCGAUCGUGGGGGAUAACGCAGCGAAAGCUGCGCUAAUACCGCAUACGAUCUGAGGAUGAAAGCGGGGGACCGUAAGGCCACGCGCGAUCGGAGCGGCCGAUGUCAGAUUAGGUAGUUGGUGGGGUAAAGGCCCACCAAGCCGACGAUCUGUAGCUGGUCUGAGAGGACGACCAGCCACACUGGGACUGAGACACGGCCCAGACUCCUACGGGAGGCAGCAGUGGGGAAUUUUGGACAAUGGGCGAAAGCCUGAUCCAGCAAUGCCGCGUGCAGGAAGAAGGCCUUCGGGUUGUAAACUGCUUUUGUACGGAGCGAAAAGGUCCUUUCUAAUACAGGGGGCUCAUGACGGUACCGUAAGAAUAAGCACCGGCUAACUACGUGCCAGCCGCCGCCGUAA